GCCGGUGUUGCAUAGUGGUUUGAGUGUUGGACUACAACUCUUCAGACCAGGGUUUGAAUCCCAGCUCGGCCA